rnacentral:lncRNA from 1 species
GUCUGGCCAGGGGUUUGUCAAUAUUGUUUACCUUUUCAAAGAACCAGCUCUUGGUUUUAUUAAUUUUCUCUAUUGUUUUUUGAGUCUCUAUUUUAUUGAUUUCUUCUUUGAUCUUUAUAAUUUCAUUCCUUCUGCUGACUUUCGGUCUUUUUUGUUCUUUUUCUAAGUCGUUUAGGUGGAGGGUUAAUUUAUCAAUUUUGUAUCUCUCUUCUUUUUUGAGGAGGGCCUCUAUUGCUAUAAAUUUCCCUCUGAGCACUGCUUUCGCAGCAUCCCAUAGAUUUUGAGAGGUGUGUCUUCAUUAUCAUUUGUUUCAAGGUAUUUUUAAAUUUCCUUCUUGAUUUCCUCAUUGACCCAUUGGUUUUUGAGUAGCAUGUUGUUUAGUCUCCAUGUAGUCAGUUUUUUUCUCAUUUCUUCUCCCGUGGUUGGUUUCUAGUUUCAUGCCAUUGUGGUCAGAGAAGAUACUUGAAAUAAUUUCUAUACUCUUAAAUGUGUUGAGGUUAGUUUUGUGCCCCAGUAUGUGGUCAAUCCUUGAGAAUGUUCCAAGUGCACUUCAAAAGAAUGUAUAUUCUGAUUUUUUUUGGAAGUAAUGUCCUGAAAAUGUCUAUCAAGUCUAACUUUUCUAUUGUGUCAUUUAGGAUCUCUAUUGCCUUAUUGAUUUUCUGUACAGAGGCCCUGUCCAUUGAUGUGAGUAGGGUGUUAAAUUCGCCUACUGUUAUUGUAUUCCCAUCAAUUUCUCCUUUUAUGUCUUUUAGUAUUUGUUGUAGGUAUCUGGGUGCUCCCAUAUUAGGGGCAUAUAUGCUGAAAAUUGUAAUAUCCUCUUCUUGAAUGGAUCCUUUUAUCAUGAAGUAGUGUCCUUCUUUGUCCUUUUUUAUGGCCUUCUUUUUAAAGUCUAUUUUGUCUGAAAUGAGUAUUGCAACUCGUGCUUUCCUGUCUUAUCCAUUGGCAUGAAAUAUCUUUUCCCAUCCCCUCACUUUCCAUCUAUAUGUGUCCUUUGCCCUAAGUUGAGUCACUUGUAAACAACAUAUUGUAGGCUCUUGCUUUUUAAUUCAAUUUGACACUCUCUGUCCAUUGAUUGGAGCAUUCAGUCCACUGGCAUUUAAGGUGAUUAUUGAUAGAUAUGUAUUUAUUGCCAUUUUAAACCUUGUUUUCCAGUUGAUUGUGUGUUUUUCCGUUGUUCCUUUCUUUCUUUGGUUGGAUGAUUUCCUUUUAUUUUAUGUGUGUCCUUUUCUUUUCAGUUUUUGUGAAUGUAAUAUUUGUUUUUGAUUUG